UACAGAGGUCUCAAGCGUUGUUCGGAUUCAUUGGGCGUAAAGGGUGCGUAGGCGGCACGGUAAGUCGGGUGUGAAAUCUCGGAGCUUAACUCCGAAACUGCAUUCGAUACUGCCGUGCUUGAGGACUGGAGAGGAGACUGGAAUUUACGGUGUAGCGGUGAAAUGCGUAGAUAUCGUAAGGAAGACCAGUGGCGAAGGCGGGUCUCUGGACAGUUCCUGACCAGCUGAGGCACGAAGGCCAGGGGAGCAAACGGG
rnacentral:rRNA from 1 species